rnacentral:lncRNA from 1 species
GCAUUUUUCGGUCAAAAUGUUUGCCAUGUCUACUUUGAUGUUUCGUGCCUAAAUGAUUGAUAGCUUAAUUGGCUGUUUCUAAAGUUAGUGGCAAAUGACUUCUUGGUUGAUAUCCGAUAUUUCAAAUUUCAAUCUUAGUUGAUUCAUAUUUUUAAUUAAAUUUAUUUCUAAAUAAAAUAAAUAAAGCAUGCUAUUUAUCUCAAAAAAAAAAAAAUGAUUGAUAGCUUAGCUCCACCACCCACAUC